GAUGAACGCUGGCGGCGUGCCUAAUACAUGCAAGUCGAGCGAACAGACGAGGAGCUUGCUCCUCUGACGUUAGCGGCGGACGGGUGAGUAACACGUGGAUAACCUACCUAUAAGACUGGGAUAACUUCGGGAAACCGGAGCUAAUACCGGAUAAUAUAUUGAACCGCAUGGUUCAAUAGUGAAAGACGGUUUUGCUGUCACUUAUAGAUGGAUCCGCGCCGCAUUAGCUAGUUGGUAAGGUAACGGCUUACCAAGGCGACGAUGCGUAGCCGACCUGAGAGGGUGAGCGCCCACAGGGGAACUGAGACCGGCACCAGCCCCCUGCGGGAGGCAGCAGUGGGGAAUCUCCCGCAGGGGGCGAACGCCUGCAGGACCACCGCCGCGUGAGGAAUAAGGGUUUUCGGAUCUAAAAACUCUUUUAUUGGGAAAAAAAAAUUGUGUAAGUAUCUAUGCCCUUUUUGACGGUCCCUAAUAAGAAACCCCCGGCUACCUCCGUC
rnacentral:rRNA from 1 species